CCUACGUGUGACUGCAGUAGGGAAUUUUGCGCAAUGGGCGCAAGCCUGACGCAGCAACGCCGCGUGAUCGAUACGCCCUUCGGGGUGUAAAGAUCUGUCAGUGGGGACGAACCUUGACGGUACCCACAGAGGAAGCACCGGCUAACUCCGUGCCAGCAGCCGCGGUAAUACGGGGGGUGCAAGCGUUGUCCGGAAUCAUUGGGCGUAAAGAGUUCGUAGGCGGCACGUAAAGUCUGGUGUUAAAGACAGAGGCUCAACUUCUGUACGGCACUGGAUACUUGCGAGCUAGAAUGCGGGAGGUGUAGAGGGAAGUCCUGGUGUAGCGGUGAAAUGCUUAGAUAUCAGGAGGAACAUCGGUGGCGUAAGCGCUUUACUGGGCCGUAAUUGACGCUGAGGAACGAAAGCCAGGGUAGCAAAUGGGAUUAGAUACCCUUGUAGUC
rnacentral:rRNA from 1 species